GGACGGUUAGAGAGCAUGCGCAGCAAGCGAUGUUUUGAAUUUCUGCGUCGAAUUUGCUGAAACUAGGAAGAAGUAGAGAGACUGCUUGCAUUUUACCUCUGGAUAAAGACUGAAUACUUCUACAGAAUAAUAAUAAGGAAAAAAGCUUGUGGCAACUGUCUUCUCUGAACAGCGAUCUUGUGAACAUGGGCCUCAGAACAAUAAAGGCAAGAGGACACUUCACACCCUACAACCCGUAAAAAUAACCCAGAUUCGACAGAACUACACACCCAUCUGAGGCCUACCUGUUUUACUUCAUGAUCACCCCAGAUACUUUUACAAUUUACCUGCUUUGUGUCUGAUGUUGAUGCAGUCUGGGCACUAGUAUCUGUUGGCUUGCUGACUAUCAAUGAAGAUGAAGUACUUCCCCAAAUCUUCUUUGCCUUGACCCUGUGUCUUCUGCCAUCAUUGUUCAGUGUAGUGCUGCAAAGAACAGUCUCCAGGGUCUACCUCCAACAUUUGCUUCCGGACUGCCAUGUGCUACGUUUGGAUUACUGGUACAUGUGGAUUACCCUGAUACUGUGAAGAACACUUACAAUAUGAUGCUUGACUUGGGACAGAAAAAAAAAAACAUUGGCAACUUGUGUGGCCAACUCAUUGCCAUUCUUAAUCUCAUCGUACUGCUACCUCUGCUGUUUAGCAUAAACAAAAGCAGACUGUUUUUGCUUUGUUUCAAAAUGUUUGUAAUACAAGUUAAAAUUGCAUUGAAAAAUAUAAAAAAUAUAUUAUCUUUAACUUUGAACUGUCACUACCUUUGAUUUAUGGGUAAUUAUGUGUGUGAAGAAUAGAACAUUGUUGUCAUGAAUUUGUAAUGGAUGUUUGAAGCGUUUAAGUUACUGGAGUAACGGUAACUAGUUUUUUUUUUUUUUUUUUUUUAAGGCAACUGGUUAAAACUAGAUUGCUGUUCAAGUAAAUACAACUUAGAAAUUCCAAGUUUCAGGAAAUGUUACUUGAUUUAGCUAAACUUAAAUGAGUUGUUUGAAAUACGCACAUAGUAUAUUGUACUUAAUCAUUUAGUUGUUGAAAAUAGUGAUUCUUAGUUACAAGAACUUGUGUGUAAGUUUACAACACUAAAUAAACCUUUGUUAGUACAAA